rnacentral:lncRNA from 1 species
UCACUGGAGACGCGGGCUAAAAGCAUGGAAGAAGAAUGAGGGACGCUAGGUCUUCGAGACAUGCUAGUAGAAAUAGGGCAAACAAGAAGAGACAAAUAUAUAUAUAUUUUUAUGGUUUAGGGAGCGGAGAGGGAAGGAGUCUUUAGAGGGUGGUGGAGGAGGAGGAGGAGGAGGAGGGAAUAGGAAAUAGGAGAAAAUAGAAGGGGACAGUUGUCUUCGAUGCU